UACGUAGGGUGCAAGCGUUAAUCGGAAUUACUGGGCGUAAAGCGUGCGCAGGCGGUCUGCUAAGAGAGAUGUGAAAUCCCCGGGCUUAACCUGGGAACUGCGUUUCUAACUGGCGGACUCGAGUGUGGCAGAGGGGGGUGGAAUUCCGCGUGUAGCAGUGAAAUGCGUAGAGAUGCGGAGGAACACCGAUGGCGAAGGCAGCCCCCUGGGCUAACACUGACGCUCAGGCACGAAAGCGUGGGGAGCAAACAGG
rnacentral:rRNA from 1 species